GGCCUAACACAUGCAAGUCGAACGGCAGCACAGCAGAGCUUGCUCUGUGGGUGGCGAGUGGCGGACGGGUGAGUAAUGCAUCGGGACCUACCCAGACGUGGGGGAUAACGUAGGGAAACUUACGCUAAUACCGCAUACGUCCUACGGGAGAAAGCAGGGGAUCUUCGGACCUUGCGCGGUUGGACGGACCGAUGUGCGAUUAGCUAGUUGGUAAGGUAAUGGCUUACCAAGGCGACGAUCGCUAGCUGGUCUGAGAGGAUGAUCAGCCACAUUGGAACUGAGACACGGUCCAGACUCCUACGGGAGGCAGCAGUGGGGAAUAUUGGACAAUGGGCGCAAGCCUGAUCCAGCAAUGCCGCGUGUGUGAAGAAGGCCCUCGGGUUGUAAAGCACUUUUAUCAGGAACGAAAUACCACGGGCUAAUACCUUGUGGGGCUGACGGUACCUGAGG
rnacentral:rRNA from 1 species